ACGGGAGGCAGCAGUGGGGAAUAUUGGACAAUGGGCGCAAGCCUGAUCCAGCAAUGCCGCGUGGGUGAUGAAGGCCUUCGGGUUGUAAAGCCCUUUCGCACGCGACGAUGAUGACGGUAGCGUGAGAAGAAGCCCCGGCUAACUUCGUGCCAGCAGCCGCGGUAAUACGAAGGGGGCGAGCGUUGUUCGGAAUUACUGGGCGUAAAGGGCGCGUAGGCGGUGCACCAAGUCAGGCGUGAAAGCCCCGGGCUCAACCUGGGAACGGCGCUUGAGACUGGUGCGCUCGAGUUCGGGAGAGGACGGCGGAAUUCCCAGUGUAGAGGUGAAAUUCGUAGAUAUUGGGAAGAACACCGAUGGCGAAGGCAGCCGUCUGGACCGACACUGACGCUGAGGCGCGAAAGCGUGGGGAGCAAACAGGAUUAGAUACCCUGGUA
rnacentral:rRNA from 1 species